rnacentral:rRNA from 1 species
UACGUAGGGUGCGAGCGUUGUCCGGAAUUAUUGGGCGUAAAGAGCUCGUAGGCGGUUUGUCGCGUCGACUGUGAAAACCUACAGCUUAACUGUGGGCUUGCAGUCGAUACGGGCAGACUUGAGUUCGGUAGGGGAGACUGGAAUACUUGGUGUAGCAGUGAAAUGCGUAGAUAUCAAGUGGAACACCAGUGGCGAAGGCGAGUCUCUGGACAUUUCCUGACGCUGAGGCACGAAAGCCAGGGGAGCAAACGGG